UACAGAGGUGGCAAGCGUUGUUCGGAAUUACUGGGCGUAAAGGGCGCGUAGGCGGUUCGUUAAGUCCUGUGUGAAAUCCCCCGGCUCAACUGGGGAACUGCACAGGAAACUAGCGGGCUUGAGUUCGGGAGAGGGAAGCGGAAUUCCGGGUGUAGCGGUGAAAUGCGUAGAUAUCUGGAGGAACACCGGUGGCGAAGGCGGCAUUCUGGACCGAAACUGACGCUGAGGCGCGAAAGCCAGGGGAGCAAACGGG
rnacentral:rRNA from 1 species